rnacentral:rRNA from 1 species
CCAACGGGAUACUGUCCCUUUUCCUUGGUGACUCUGAAUAACUUUCUGCUGAUCGCAUGGCCUCGAGCCGGCGACAUAUCUUUCAAGUGUCUGCCUUAUCAACUUUCGACGGUAGGUUACAAGCCUACCGUGGUUAUAACAGGUGACGGGGAAUCAGGGUUCGAUUCCGGAGAGGGAGCCUGAGAAACGGCUGCCACAUCUAAGGAAGGCAGCAGGCGCGCAAAUUACCCACUCCCGGCACGGGGAGGUAGUGACGAAAAAUAACAAUACGGGACUCUACCGAGGCCUCGUAAUUGGAAUGAGUACAAUUUAAAAUCCUUAACGAGGAUCUAUUGGAGGGCAAGUCUGGUGCCAGCAGCCGCGGUAAUUCCAGCUCCAAUAGCGUAUAUUAAAGUUGUUGCGGUUAAAAAGCUCGUAGUUGGAUCUCAGUUCUGGGUGAGCACGGGUCCGCCAUAACAUUGGUGGACUGCUGACUUGCCCGGUGCAAAACCGCCCGGCUUCCCCCACGGUGCUCUUCACCGAGUGUCGUGGGUGGCCGACACGUUUACUUUGAGAAAACCAGAGUGCUUAAAGCAGGCGCAAGACGCCCGAAUGACUGUGCAUGGAAUAAUGGAAGAGGAUCUCGCUUCUGUCUUUGUUGGUUCCUCGGAAGGCGAGAUAAUGAUUAAUAGAAGCAGUCGGGGGCAUUCGUAUUGCGACGUUAGAGGUGAAAUUCUUGGAUCGUCGCACGACGAACUACUGCGAAAGCAUUUGCCAAGAAUGUUUUCGUUAAUCAAGAACGAAAGUUAGAGGUUCGAAGGCGAUCAGAUACCGCCCUAGUUCUAACCAUAAACGAUGCCGACUGGCGAUCUGUCCUAGUUACUCGCACGACUGGACAGGCAGCCUCCGGGAAACCAAAGUCUUUGGGUUCCGGGGGAAGUAUGGUUGCAAAGCUGAAACUUAAAGGAAUUGACGGAAGGGCACCACCAGGAGUGGAGCCUGCG